UACGGGGGGGCGAGCGUUGUUCGGAAUCACUGGGCGUAAAGGGCGCGUAGGCGGCCCGCACAAGUCUGCGGCGAAAACCCCCGGCUUAACCGGGGGCCGGCCGUGGAAACUGUCGGGCUAGAGGCCGGGAGAGGGCAGCGGAAUUCCCGGCGUAGCGGUGAAAUGCGUAGAGAUCGGGAGGAACACCGGCGGCGAAGGCGGCUGCCUGGACCGGCCCUGACGCUGAGGCGCGAAAGCUAGGGGAGCAAACAGG
rnacentral:rRNA from 1 species